rnacentral:siRNA from 1 species
GAUGGGCAAUCUAAGAGGACUAUC